rnacentral:rRNA from 1 species
UACGAAGGGGGCUAGCGUUGUUCGGAUUUACUGGGCGUAAAGCGCACGUAGGCGGGUCGUUAAGUCAGGGGUGAAAUCCCGGAGCUCAACUCCGGAUCUGCCUUUGAUACUGGCGACCUUGAGGCUGGAAGAGGUUAGUGGAAUUCCCAGUGUAGAGGUGAAAUUCGUAGAUAUUGGGAAGAACACCAGUGGCGAAGGCGGCUAACUGGUCCAGAUCUGACGCUGAGGUGCGAAAGCGUGGGGAGCAAACAGG